CUGCAGCCCUCUGUCUGUAUGCAGGGCAGGGAGGGGCCGGGACCAAGGCUGUGGGCUCCUCUCUCCACCGCAGGGGAGUGGGGGACCCUCCUCAGAGUCCUCUGGACCCUCAGCUCCGCCCUGUCCUCACCUCCCCUCUCCUCUCUGUGUCUGCACUAAGCCAGUCUCCCUGGGCAAGCUGUGGCUCCUGCCCAUCCACCCUCCCCCAGCCCCCUGUGGGUCCCGAAGCCCCUUCCACAGCCUGCUGUUCUCCCUGGAAGGGGGCAAAGGUGGUGAUGCGCAGAGGCUGGCCUCCCGGCCUAAAUGGUGGCGUCACUGCGCAAGACCACGGCAAGAGAUGCGAGUGCAGUGGGCAUGGGCUGGGGUGGCUGCACUCAGUGCCCACCCUGGGCAACAGGCCCUGGGGAUGCCCACAGUUCUAUGAGGUAAACACCAUCGUCACACCCUUGUUUUACAGAUGGGUAAACUGAGGCACAGAGCAGCGAAAUCACUUGUCCAAGGUCACACAGUUAACAAGACACAAAGUGACUUCUGAAUGAGCAUCCUGGCCAGCGUCACACACACAGCCAGCCAGUGGCAAAGCCAGGAGUCAGGCCCUCGUCCCUCCUGCUGCCCUGUCUUUGUGUGCCGGUGGCCCAGGAACAGACAUGCCUCUCCUGACUCAUCCUGCCCCCGGGGAUGCUUUAGCAAUGUCUCUGGUGACCCCAAACCUCAUGGAUGGGGAGACGGAAGGCGUGGGGUAGUUCUUACCUUGACACGUGUUCUCACUUUUAUUCUUGAAUGUUUUUCCCCCAGAAGCAAGCUCGUACCCGGGAAUGCAUUCGCAGUGGUAGCUCCCCUCUGUGUUCUGGCAGUCUGCAAAUUUUCCACAGGACACUGCCAAGGGCGGUCCACACUCAUUGAUGUCUGGAACACAACAGGGCAAAGGGUCACCUCCCAUUAGGGAUCCCUAUCCCCUACCUGACCCCCCAGCAGGGGGCCCAAUGCUUAAUCAGUGUCUUUUAAGGAAAUGAUGAGACUCUCAAGCUAUACUGCAGAGGCUGGGCUGUAGCUAGAGCAAGCCAUUCCUGAAGCCCAUCCGUCAGCUCUGCUCUUCUCUGCCCUCUGGCUGGCAUCCUGGGUUUGGGCACAGUGGGGAGUGCUGAGCUGCAGGGUGGGGGUCAGUUCUGCAUCUUCCUCCUAGUCCUAGAAGAGCAAACUGGAGCAGACUCCAGGGUCUUGGAGACCCAGCUCCUUUCUCUCUGGGAAGCCAGGUUUAUUCACUUUCUAUGUUCCACCUUUAUAUCUUUUCCUUUCUCUUUUCUCCACCCUUGAUAAUAGUCCCGAGGCCAAAGGCUGAGACCCCAACCACCGCCCACAUCUCCCAUGGGCACUGGGCUAUGCCUCACCGUCUCCAUGUCCCCCACCACCCCUCUAAGCCCCUGUACCAUCACAACUCUCCAACUGGUCGGUGAAGAUCUCCCCAGAAGAAGCACUGAACCCCGGAGAGCAGUGGCAGGCGGUGGCGUUGACACAUUUGGAGUUCAGGGGGCACCAGCGAGCGCAGCCUGUGGGGAUGGGGACCACAGUUGGGAGAACGGGGAUGAUGAUCAGCAGCACUUCCUGGAGAAUUAAGCUCGUGCGUACUGCCUGGUGUGUCCAAGUGUUCCCUGUCAUCACAACUUUAUGUAACAGUGAAGGGGUGGGGCCGGGCUUCGAGUCUCAGAUGCUCCGGCCACCCCCCUGCACCCUGGCCGUAGGUGCACACGUACCACACUCACAUCCGUCAGCCCAACGACCGGCUUGGGACCCAGUGGUGACAUGUCACCCCAGCUCCCUGCACACAGGAAGACGCUGUGGGCUCACAUUAAGGGUGGUUCUCGUCUCCUGCUGUUCCUGCCGUUCCGGGGUGCCCUCUUCCCGGGGCAUGUGUUUGGGGGUCCCUCUCAAGUCAACAGGGCCUCUAGAGAUAGGGGGCCCCUUGUUCACCAGGGAGAGAGACAAGGAGAUCAAGAUGGUAAAGCAGGAGGGGGGACAGAGGCAGAGCGGGGAACACGGAGAGGGAGAAGGGAACGUGACAGGUGGAAGGGGACAAACAGGCAGAAGUUGAGGCCAUGCUAGAGAGAGAUGGACGGAGAGAUUGGGAACUUACGGAAAGAGAGAGACUAAGAUGGCAGAGAUUGGAGAGAGGACACAGAAAUGGAGAGAUUGAGAGCAUGAUUGGAAAG